CUGUUGCUGAAAAGGGGAACUUGGAAGGCGUCUGAUGUCCGGCUAUGAAGCUGCUUCAUCCUUACAGCUGGCAAUGAAACGGCUGCAGCCACAGUCCAUGGA
rnacentral:lncRNA from 1 species